UACGUAGGUGGCUAGCGUUGUCCGGAUUUACUGGGCGUAAAGAGCGCGCAGGCGGUCGUUCAAGUCGAGUGUGAAAGCCCCCGGCUCAACUGGGGAGGGUCACUCGAUACUGAUCGACUCGAAGGCAGGAGAGGGAAGCGGAAUUCCCGGUGUAGCGGUGAAAUGCGCAGAUAUCGGGAGGAACACCAAUGGCGAAGGCAGCUCGCUGGGACGGUACUGACGCUGAGACGCGAAAGCGUGGGGAGCAAACAGG
rnacentral:rRNA from 1 species